UUGCUCUUUAACAAUUUGGAAAGCUGACGAAUAACGACUGUGAUUAGUUGUUAUUCAAAUUUAAAAGUUCUCAAAUCCUAUGACUCUUUAAGAGUGAUAGGUACCAACACACAUUCAAGUGUUCUUGGGUUUUCAUGUAAAUGAAAACAUAUUUGAGUCCGGCAAAAUCGAACGUCUCUCACUCAUAAAAUAGAGAGACAACCUUGGUUGCUGGUUUGUCUUCACUUUAAAAAGUGAAAGCAAACAAUCCAUACAUAAGACCUCUUGGGGUUGUAU
rnacentral:misc_RNA from 1 species